GCUGUUGACCAGAGCGGAAGCGACCUGCUGGGGCUGCUGGCCGCUCUCCUCCUCUGUACCACCAUCUGCACAUGCACACAAGCGCCCGUCCUUCUCAGCUGCACCGAGUGGAACAAUGGCACCGAUGUACACCUGUGGAAGUAAGAGAGACAGCUAAACACACUGAUCUGAGCGUGCAGAUUAACUGGCGUCACGUAUCUGAGGGCUUGGGAUUCCAGCUGCGUGCCGAGCCUGGUUUCAAAUGGCUGAAGCGAGCAGAGCUGCUACCAACCGGCUGAUCUGGUC